UACAGAGGGUGCAAGCGUUGUUCGGAAUUACUGGGCGUAAAGCGUGCGCAGGCGGCUUUGCAAGACAGAUGUGAAAUCCCCGGGCUCAACCUGGGAACUGCAUUUGUGACUGCAAGGCUAGAGUACGGUAGAGGGGGAUGGAAUUCCGCGUGUAGCAGUGAAAUGCGUAGAUAUGCGGAGGAACACCGAUGGCGAAGGCAAUCCCCUGGACCUGUACUGACGCUCAUGCACGAAAGCGUGGGGAGCAAAC
rnacentral:rRNA from 1 species